rnacentral:rRNA from 1 species
UACAGAGGGGGCAAGCGUUGUUCGGAAUUACUGGGCGUAAAGGGCGCGUAGGCGGCCUGCUAAGUCGAACGUGAAAUCCCUGGGCUCAACCCAGGAACUGCGUCCGAUACUGGUUGGCUUGAAUCCGGGAGAGGGACGUGGAAUUCCAGGUGUAGCGGUGGAAUGCGCAGAUAUCAGGAGGAACACCAAUAGCGAAGGCAGCUCGCUGGGACGGUACUGACGCUGAGGCGCGAAAGCGUGGGGAGCGAACAGG